GCCUGGGUGGCUUGGUCAGUUAAGCGUCCGACUUCGGUUCAGGUCAUGAUCUCGCGGUCCGUGGGUUCGAGUCCCACGUCGGGCU
rnacentral:tRNA from 1 species